AGCGAACGCUGGCGGCAGGCCUAACACAUGCAAGUCGAGCGGCCGUAGCAAUACGGCAGCGGCAGACGGGAGAGUAACACGUGGGAACGCGCCCUUCGGUUCGGGAUAACUCAGGGAAACUUGGGCUAAUACCGGAUACGCCCUUACGGGGAAAGAUUUAUUGCCGAAGGAACGGCCCGCGUCCGAUUAGCUUGUUGGUGAGGUAACGGCUCACCAAGGCGACGAUCGGUAGCUGGUCUGAGAGGAUGACCAGCCUCACUGGGACUGAGACACGGCCCAGACUCCUACGGGAGGCAGCAGUGGGGAAUAUUGGACAACGGGCGCAAGCCUGAUCCAGCCAUGCCGCGUGGGUGAUGAAGGCCCUAGGGUUGUAAAGCCCUUUCAGCGGGGAAGAUAAUGACGGUACCCGCAGAAGAAGCCCCGGCUAACUUCGUGCCAGCAGCCGCAGUAAGAC
rnacentral:rRNA from 1 species